AUACGUAGGGGGCGAGCGUUGUCCGGAAUGAUUGGGCGUAAAGGGCGCGUAGGCGGCGCGGUAAGUCUGGAGUGAAAGUCCUGCUUUCAAGGUGGGAAUUGCUUUGGAUACUGCCGCGCUUGAGUGCAGGAGAGGUUAUCGGAAUUCCCGGUGUAGCGGUGAAAUGCGUAGAGAUCGGGAGGAACACCAGUGGCGAAGGCGGGUAACUGGACUGCAUCUGACGCUGAGGCGCGAAAGUGUGGGGAGCAAACAGGAUUAGAUACCCUGGUAGUCCACACUGUAAACGAUGAAUGCUAGGUGUAAGAGGUAUCGACCCCUCUUGUGCCGGAGUUAACACAAUAAGCAUUCCGCCUGGGGAGUACGGCCGCAAGGCUGAAACUCAAAGGAAUUGACGGGG
rnacentral:rRNA from 1 species